GAGUGACACCCACCCCCUAACCUUGAGGGAUUUUCGAGAAUGCUGGCUGGAGGGCUCUGGACACCCUGCUCAGGCUGGAAGAGAGGCUUCGCCUUCACACCCUGGCUGGUUUCUCCAGCCGGCCCCCAACAAGCUGCGGGUGGCUUCAGGAAGCCCCUCCCUGGCCAGGGGAGGUAAUGUUGGGAGACCGACAAGGCAACCAAACCCCAUGCCCAGCAUUCUUGACCUUGGUUGGGGGGGGGGUCCCAGGCCUCUCUGAGAGUCUGAGAAAUACAAUAGAUCCUUUCUCUAGAAAAAUGAUCACAUACUUGCAAAUUUUUACUGUAACGUCAGAAGCUUCUGAGUCCAUUCCUCAGUUCCAUAUGGGUCCCCAGACCUUGGUUAAGGGCAAUGGAACCCCCAACACCAAAGCACUGAAAUUGCCAAAAUUAUACCCCUGGUAGCAGGAAACUCAACUAGAAUCUUGACAUACAGAAGGUACUGGAAACUCUCUGGCAAAUGAACAUAUUCCCUAGCAGCUGUGAGGUGAAUGGUGAGCAGGCAGGACUCCCUGCAGUUUGGCCUUCACCACAAACAACUUUGGGACUUGAAGCUUUAUUUAUUCACUCAAUGCUUCUUUUGGUUUUGGUUUUGUUUGGGUUGGUUUUGUUUGUGUUUUUGUUUUUCUGAGAUGGGGAUCUCACUAUGUUUCCCAGGCUGGAGUGCAGUGGCUAUUCACAGAUGUGGUCAUAGCACACUACAGCCUCAAACUCCUGGGCUUCAGCCAUCCUCCUGCCUCAGCCUCCUGAGUGGCUGGUACUACAGGCUGCAUGCACCACCACACCUGGCUUCAAUGCUUGUUAUUGUCUACAGACUUUGUGCCAGGCAUGGGUAUAUGACGAGGAUAUAGAAUAGAUGUAUAGACACGUUUUCUGCCUUCAUGUUGCUUAUAGUCUAGGGUGAACAAGAAAAUUAAUUGAACACCUAAGUACAUAUGUGCUUUUAUGAGGUGGGCAGGAAUUAUGACUAAACCCCUAGGGCUUCAGUUUCCUCAUCUGUAAAAUGAAGAUAACUAUAGUUAUUUGCUAGUGUUUCUAUGAGGAUGAAAUGAAGCCACUUAUGUGAAGCACUGAGCAUGGAGCCUGGCACAAGAGGGAGCUACAGAAGACAUGGCAUGUGAGUAAGGCUGGUCAGCAGACAGAAGUGAGCCUGGCCACUCUGAUGGCAGAGCCUUGGCAAAAACCAGGCCACCACCAUCUUGACCAGCCUGGAUGCUGGGGCUGGAAGGGUAGCCAUUUUAGAGGCAGCCUCCAGGCCAUGAACAUCACUAGGCAGCAGCCAAGCCCUGUAUGAAUGGGGAGCAGGUGCUCAGGGUAGGAGGAGGCCAAGGCUGGCCCUUUGAAUGGCCAAGUUGAAGCAGGGGACUGGAAUAACCUCUCUGCAGGGCUGGGUUCUAAGAUCUGUGCCAAUUUCUACUUCUGGUUUCAAUAGACUAGCUUAUAUAUCACACCAACUUUGCCACCAACUGAAAAAAGGGAUAAAAUACAUUUUUAAAAUUUGAAUCUAGAAAGAUGAGCUCAACAUUUGGCCCUACUUUUUCCCUAAGCAGUAGCCAUGAAGUUGAGAAUGUGAGCACAAACUGGAGACUGAGGUUUUUGCAAUCUCCUGGAGUUAGAGAAAAAGAGGAGAGGGGAGAAUUCAAGCAUCUCCAAGUGGAGAGACGGCUUAUUAAAGAAAAAAAAAAAAAAAA
rnacentral:lncRNA from 1 species